AACGAACGCUGGCGGCAUGCCUAACACAUGCAAGUCGAACGAGACCUUCGGGUCUAGUGGCGCACGGGUGCGUAACGCGUGGGAACCUGCCCUUAGGUUCGGAAUAACUCCCCGAAAGGGGUGCUAAUACCGGAUAAUGUCUUCGGACCAAAGAUUUAUCGCCUUUGGAUGGGCCCGCGUUGGAUUAGCUAGUUGGUAGGGUAAAAGCCUACCAAGGCGACGAUCCAUAGCUGGUCUGAGAGGAUGAUCAGCCACACUGGGAUUGAGACACGGCCCAGACUCCUACGGGAGGCAGCAGUGGGGAAUAUGGGACAAUGGGCGAAAGCCUGAUCCAGCAAUGCCGCGUGAGUGAUGAAGGCCUUAGGGUUGUAAGGCUCUUUUACCCGGGAUGAUAAUGACAGUACCGGGAGAAUAAGCUCCGGCUAACUCCGU
rnacentral:rRNA from 1 species